GACGAACGCUGGCGGCGUGCUUAACACAUGCAAGUCGAGCGGUAAGGCCCUUUCGGGGGUACACGAGCGGCGAACGGGUGAGUAACACGUGGGUGACCUGCCCUUAGCUCUGGGAUAAGCCUGGGAAACUGGGUCUAAUACCGGAUAUGACUCCAUAACGCAUGUUGUGGGGUGAAGGCCUUGUGCGGCUAGGGAUGGGCCCGCGGCCUAUCAGCUUGUUGGUGGGGUGAUGGCCUACCAAGGCGACGACGGUAGCCGGCCUGAGAGGCGACCGCCACACUGGGACUGAGACACGGCCCAGACUCCUACGGGAGCAGCAGUGGGAAUCUUGCGCAAUGGGCGAAAGCCUGACGCA
rnacentral:rRNA from 1 species